GACGAACGCUGGCGGCAUGCCUAAUACAUGCAAGCCGAGCGAACAGAUGCAGUGCUUGCACUUCUGACGUUAGCGGCGAACGGGUGAGUAACACGUAAGGAAUCUACCUAUAAGCGGGGGAUAACAUUCGGAAACGGGUGCGACUACCGCAUAAUAUCUUCUUCCGCAUGGAAGAAGAUUGAAAGACGGCUCUGCUGUCAUUUAUAGAUGACCUUGCGGUGCAUUAGUUAGUUGGUGGGGUAACGGCCUCCCAAGACGAUGAUGCAUAGCCGACCUGGGAGGGUGAUCGGUCACAUUGGGACUGAGACACGGCCCAAACUCCUACGGGAGGAAGCAGUAGGGAAUCUUCCGCACUGGGCGAAAGCCUGACGGAGCAAUGCCGCGUGAGUGAAGAAGGCCUUCGGGUCGUAAAACUCUGUUAUAAGAGAAGAACAAAUUGUAGAGUAACUGCUACAGUCUUGACGGUAUCUUAUCAGAAAGCCACGGCUAACUACGUGCCAGCCGCCGCCGUAA
rnacentral:rRNA from 1 species